rnacentral:rRNA from 1 species
GUGGGGAAUUUUGGACAAUGGGCGCAAGCCUGAUCCAGCCAUGCCGCGUGCAGGAUGAAGGCCUUCGGGUUGUAAACUGCUUUUGUACGGAACGAAAAGACUCCUUCUAAUAAAGGGGGUCCAUGACGGUACCGUAAGAAUAAGCACCGGCUAACUACGUGCCAGCAGCCGCGGUAAUACGUAGGGUGCGAGCGUUAAUCGGAAUUACUGGGCGUAAAGCGUGCGAAGGCGGUUAUGUAAGACAGAUGUGAAAUCCCCGGGCUCAACCUGGGAACUGCAUUUGUGACUUCAUAGCUAGAGUACGGCAGAGGGGGAUGGAAUUCCGCGUGUAGCAGUGAAAUGCGUAGAUAUGCGGAGGAACACCGAUGGCGAAGGCAAUCCCCUGGGCCUGUACUGACGCUCAUGCACGAAAGCGUGGGGAGCAAACAGGAUUAGAUACCCCAGUAGUCC